GACGAAGGAUGCAAGCGUUAUCCGGAUUCACUGGGUUUAAAGGGUGCGUAGGAGGGCAGGGAAGUCCGUGGUGAAAUCUCCGAGCUUAACUCGGAAACUGCCGUGGAUACUCUCUGUCUUGAAUCCCGUGGAGAUGAGCGGAAUAUGUCAUGUAGCGGUGAAAUGCUUAGAUAUGACAUAGAACACCAAUUGCGAAGGCAGCUCGUUACACGAAGAUUGACUCUGAGGCACGAAAGCGUGGGGAUCAAACAGG
rnacentral:rRNA from 1 species